ACACAUGCAAGUCGAGCGGUAACAGGUGUAGCAAUACAUGCUGACGAGCGGCGAACGGGUGAGUAAUGCUUCGGAAUCUGCCCAAUGGUGGGGAAUAACCAGCCGAAAGGUUGGCUAAUACCGCAUAAGUCCUACGGGGGAAAGCAGGGGAUCGCAAGACCUUGCGCCGAUGGAUGAGCCGAAGUCGGAUUAGCUAGUUGGUAGGGUAACGGCCUACCAAGGCGACGAUCCGUAGCUGGUCUGAGAGGACGACCAGCCACACUGGGACUGAGACACGGCCCAGACUCCUACGGGAGGCAGCAGUGGGGAAUAUUGGACAAUGGGGGAAACCCUGAUCCAGCGACGCCGCGUGUGUGAAGAAGGCCUGCGGGUUGUAAAGCACUUUUAGUGGGGAUGAAAAGCUCACGGCUAACACCUCUGGGUCUUGACCUAACCCAAAGAAAAAGCACCGGCUAACUCUGUG
rnacentral:rRNA from 1 species